rnacentral:tRNA from 1 species
UUAAUUGAAACCAAAAAAGAGGUAUGUCAUUGUUAAUGACAAAAAUGGAAGUUAACCCCCAAUUAAA